GAUGAACGCUAGCGGCAGGCCUAAUACAUGCAAGUCGAGGGGUAACAGAGAGUGCUUGCACUUCGCUGACGACCGGCGUACGGGUGAGUAUCGCGUAUACAAUCUGCCUCAUACUAGGGAAUAGCCCGAAGAAAUUUGGAUUAAUACCCUAUAGUAUCUUUUUAAGGCAUCUUAUUAAGAUUAAAGGUUACGGUAUGAGAUGAGUAUGCGUUCUAUUAGCUAGUAGGUGUGGUAACGGCACACCUAGGCUACGAUAGAUAGGGGCCCUGAGAGGGGGAUCCCCCACACUGGUACUGAGACACGGACCAGACUCCUACGGGAGGCAGCAGUGAGGAAUAUUGCGCAAUGGACGAAAGUCUGACGCAGCCAUGCCG
rnacentral:rRNA from 1 species